UUAGAGCUAACCUCCUCGUCCCUAAAAAACAUCCCCGUACCCACACCUCAUCCACCCAAAUCACGCAGCCAAAAAUUCUAUCUACCAUCUCUCCCCCCGAAUCCCCUCUCACUCACCCGCGACUUCCAUGGCCAGCCGCCGCACCUUUGAUUCUAGAUAGAUCCGGCGCUGUCCCGCGCCGUCCCUCGUAGGCCAGGCUCCCCCUCAAUUGUAUCUUCCUAUAUUCUGCUGCGGCGACGUCGUCCGUGCCACUGCAAGCAUCCCCGCGGUAACCCUAGCCGCCACGGAUCGCCGGCUCAGCUCGCCCGCCUCUGUCUUGGAGGCCACUACCCCGCGUUGCUGCUGCUGGCUCGAACAUGGUUCUGAAACAAGUUGUUGUGUCGGGUGCUGAUCCUUCUCUCGGUGGUGGCCUGCAGUGGAGACAGGUCCGAGGUUAGCGGAGCCGGGGGUGUAGCUUCGGUCGUGUUCCUCGAGACCUCGACUAUCAAUUGGAUCCCUCCAGUGUGGGUGGUUCUUGCGGCUCGCAAAGCCUUCAGUGGCGAUGCUUCAGGGGCAGAUGGAAGGAAAUGUACAGCUUAAUUACGACAAGGUCGCAAAAAGUGUGGUAACCCAUUCGCUUACUUGGUUGAGAAUUUCAAUACUAGAUGAUUAAUUGGAACCUUGGAGAAUGUAUGAUGAUUCUUGGUACUUGGAGGAGAAACAAGACAGUUCUAUGAAUGUUUAGAAAUUUCAUUUUUUUCUAAGAAAGUGAUGUACUCGUAGUUGAUGAUACUUGCAUUGUAAUAACAGAUUGUUUUGUUGAAUCAAUAUAUGACUUCCAUUUCUACUCUAUCGAAUCUUACUAAA